rnacentral:lncRNA from 1 species
GUACCAUUCAGUAAAGUAAUAGAGAUCAGUCUAAUUUUGGUAUAAGAGGCAAAGAGAGACAAGUUAUGAAAAAUGUGGUCUGUGGCUCCAAUAUCGAUAAUUCAGGAAGAAGAAAAAAAUGAAAAAAAUACUUUCAGUCGAUUCAGGAGUUUCAACGAGAACCUGAUUGGUAAUAUGGGAAGACUGGGAUGAAGAUGGGAGCAAAGCCAGAAGCUGCUGAAUUUGCACAGAAGUCAAAGCAACAUUAGAGUCAGUGGAAAUGCUCGAGGAAGAUUCAGAAGCCUAUGUAACCUUCUCAUCAACUGCAAGGUUAACACGUGAGGUUGGCCGCUUGCUCUUAUAGCCGGGAGGAUAACCAUGCUUCUUGUAACAGGUGUCAAUCGUGUGGCUAGAGCCACCACAAUAAGUGCACUGGCGGCUAUCAACAGAGGAUUUAUUUUGUGGCUUGCGAGCGGAGGAGGGCUGGCGAACAAUGUUGCUGGUAAAAACCUGAGAAGAAACUGGCGUUAGCUGCCUCUCUUGUUGCAUCACCAUAGAGAAAGCCUUAUUCAAAGAAGGCAAGGGAUGGAUCAACAUAAUUUGAGAGCGAACACCAGCAAAACAGUCAUUAAGACCCGUCAAGAACAGAAUCACGCAGUCAUUUUCGUGAUAACGAUGAAGGAUAGUGAGAGCCCCGCAAGAACAAGGAUGAUGGCAAGAGCAGGAAGGAAC